rnacentral:lncRNA from 1 species
GCUGCGCUGACACCUCCGGGCUUUCUCCCGGUACUCUUGAACCAGGUGCAUCAGCAUCUCCGUCUCGUGCAAGUGCUGUAAAAGAGAGACGUAAGGCGCCACGAGUAAAAAAAUCUCUACAAAUCACGUAAGUGGAAAAUUUUACUCACCCGGACGGUAUUGCAGCGGGUAAAGUCCAUGAAAGUGUUGUAGCUCAUGGACUGCAUCAUGGCCCGGUCAGCCGGGAGCAGCGCGAGCCGAAAUAUCUCGCGCGCCACUUGUGGGUUUUCGAGGGCUGAGUCACCCUCGAACACUGACCAGGCGGGUGCAUAGGGCACCCGUUCCUCCGAGCCUGAUAGGCCCGGAAGGCCAGCAUCGGCUGGCCUAGGCAAAGCCGACCCCGGGGCUCCCUGACUGCU